CGACACGUCCCUCAUCACCCCUCAUCCGUAAUAUACCUUCUCUCAUCAAGUCUCUCUCUCUACCUCUCUCUUUCUCUCUCUUCCCCUCGAAAACCCUAAACCCUAGGUUAUCUCUCUUCGUCGGAAGCGAUGGGGUCGACCACGGCGACUCCGGCGACCUCCUCCUCCUCCUCCAAGGAUAUCGUCGUCCUCCGCGGCGGCGGCGGCGGCGGCGGAGGAGGCUCGGAGGUGCCCUCGCUUCGAGCGGCAGCGUUGCCCUGUUGAAGCGGCGUACGAUGGAGAUCUCGCACGCGACGAGAUGGAGAUCGACAUUGGGAUGAAUAUAUAAGGCUAGGAACUAGAGCUGAAAACGAAGAAAGUCACCUGAUGUUGCCUACAGUCGACACCUUUUUGCUCUAAUGUGCCUCAACGACCUCUGCAUAAAUCCUUUCGAGAUAAAGUAUGUGACAAAUGAGGCAAAAUGAAAUUCAUCAUCGAGAAUUCGAGGGGACCGAUACUGGCGACGAGGUGUAUUCUUGCCAUUCUCCUUUUCGUAAGUUAUCAUUGAAGAAAUUGUCAUGAGGGCCGUGUAUACAAUAGUGCUUAGUAAUGCACAUCACAAAUUUGGAAAAAAACGAGAAGGGAUUAUGAUGUGCUCUUAUCAAGUUUUUGCGGUGUUUGUGAUUAUGGUUUUCGUUGGGAUAACAUGUUUUAACUUUUGAGUUACAGUCAAGUUAUAGCCUUUUCGCGAAGUAAUUAUCCCGUGGUUUACUGUUUACUGUUUUGUUUUUACCGAUCCGAUGGAUAGUUUAAAUGCUCUUGAAAAAGAGUUGAAAAGUGGAGGAUUUUAGUGAUUUUUUGUUAA